rnacentral:rRNA from 1 species
GCAAGUCGAGCGGAAACGAAGAGGUGCUUGCACCUCUGGCGUCGAGCGGCGGACGGGUGAGUAAUGCUUGGGAAUAAGCCUUAUGGUGGGGGACAACAGUUGGAAACGACUGCUAAUACCGCAUGAUGUCUACGGACCAAAGUGGGGGACCUUCGGGCCUCACGCCAUAAGAUUAGCCCAAGUGGGAUUAGCUAGUUGGUGAGGUAAUGGCUCACCAAGGCGACGAUCCCUAGCUGGUUUGAGAGGAUGAUCAGCCACACUGGGACUGAGACACGGCCCAGACUCCUACGGGAGGCAGCAGUGGGGAAUAUUGCACAAUGGGCGCAAGCCUGAUGCAGCCAUGCCGCGUGUGUGAAGAAGGCCUUCGGGUUGUAAAGCACUUUCAGUAAGGAGGAAAGGUUAAGUGUUAAUAGCAUUUAGCUGUGACGUUACUUACAGAAGAAGCACCGGCUAACUCCGUGCCAGCAGCCGCGGUAAUACGGAGGGUG